rnacentral:rRNA from 1 species
UGAGGAAUAUUGGACAAUGGAGGCAACUCUGAUCCAGCCAUGCCGCGUGAAGGAAUAAGGCCCUAUGGGUUGUAAACUUCUUUUAGACGGGACAAAACCCCUUUACGUGUAAAGGGUUGAUGGUACUAUCAGAAUAAGCAUCGGCUAACUUCGUGCCAGCAGCCGCGGUAAUACGAAGGAUGCAAGCGUUAUCCGGAAUUAUUGGGUUUAAAGGGUGCGUAGGCGGACUAAUAAGUCAGUGGUGAAAGCCUGCAGCUUAACUGCAGAAAUGCCUUUGAUAGUGUUCGUCUUGAGUACAGUUGAGGUAGGCGGAAUGUGUCAUGUAGCGGUGAAAUGCUUAGAUAUGACACAGAACACCGAUUGCGAAGGCAGCUUGCUAAGCUGUAACUGACGCUGAGGCACGAAAGCGUGGGGAGUA